rnacentral:lncRNA from 1 species
AAUUUCUUAGGUUAAAGAGAACACAUCCUAAGGCGACAAAAGAUGAGGAGACUUCCAAGUGACAUGGGGCCAACUUUGUAUGCUUCAUUUGGGUUUGCCUGCUGCUUUCUGAGUGAUUGCUGGAAAGAGCUGCCCCUUGUACUUCACUUAGAAAUUGUUGGUUCUAUGCUUGCAAACUUACAGACAUGGUAGCUCAUUUCAACCCUGGCUGUUUUUACUCAUUAGAGUUAUUGCAGACUAUGUAUCUGGAAUUUUCUUUGAUACGGCCAUUUUUAUCGACUGUUAGAAGUAAUUUUCAUUGAACAGUCCCAAGCAUUCCACCUUCGAGGCUGUUUUCUUGUAACAGCAAUAAAUUGAUCAAAUGACACGAAUGGUGACAGAAAUACUAAAUGUUUUAACACUCUGUUGAACAAAGAAUUGGUUUAACUGCUUUGCGGUGUGAAUAAUUUGGUCAUAUGUAUGAAAAAAAAAUACUCUUCAAAGAAAGAAUGAAUUUGUAGUGGAUUUUUUAUUUCUUUUCAAAUACUAUUAUUACAUUGACAAGUCCAAUAAAAAAAUGUGAACAGUAAGAAAAUUUCAAUUAAAUCGAUAAUAGAGAAGGCAAAUGGAGGAAAUGAUAAUGGACGCAAUGAGAAACAGAUAAUUAAAAGUCAGUGGAAAUUUGUGUAGAAAUGAGAGUGAAUAUAGGAAUGAUUUUUCUUUUUAAAAAAAAAUAAGGUUUGACAAUAAUAUAUAUUCUAUAAAUACAAUAUUUGAUAUAGGCAUAUAUAAAAGUAAAUUAUGAUAUUAAAUAUAUCAUGUCACAAUUGAUUAUGUCCUAUGAGGCUAGAUACUUUUUUGUUAAAUGAAGUAUCAAUGGUAAACACAAUUUUAAAAAAAUAAAUACAAUAAUUUUUUAAAAACUCAAAUUUAUUGUAUAAAUUUUUAUUAUGAUUAUAAAAAUAAGAAACAAAUUAUUUUGAAUCAGUAAUGGAAAACAUCUUCUUGUUGUAAAAAAAUUUGAAACAUACUUAUAUAAUUCAUUGUCAAUUAUCUGAAACAUCAUUAAUGAAUAUUUAUUGUCAAUUUAUAUAAUUCAUAAUUAUAUAAUAUAUAAAUUCGUGUCUUAUAUUUUGAAGAUUGUACGGAUUUUCAUGUCAGUAUUACAUAGAUUAUGUCUAAAAUGCAAGAGUAAGUAAUUAUAUUAUAAUAUAAUUGAUUAUAUUGUAAAAUACAAUAAUAAUAUAAUUUACUGUAUCAAAUAAAUAUAAUAAUAAAUAAUCAUAUUAUAUCAUAAUUGAUUGUUAUGAAAUAAUAUAAUAAUAAAUUAUAUUGUAAUACAACAUUUUCUUUGUUACCGUUAAUUUAUGGUCCAAUUUUUGUGAAGAAAUAAAAAGGAUAGACAUAACUAUUUUAUUUCUUCCCUCCCUUCUGCUUCUUUGAUAGCAACAGCGUUGAGUUCUACCGGUUCACUGGGAACAAUUAAUUGUAACUAGGUAGUUGACCAAACUGUAAAAUCUGUAGGAUCUAGUUACUGACUUCAUCAAGUUUAAUUUUUGUUGGAAGUGCUUUUCAUUAUGAGAGCAAUACUUCUUCUUUUUAUUAUCUUAGUUACCUAAUGAAUUCCAAGAAGAAGUUUCUGAGUGUUUUUUUCUGUUCCAGAUGAAUAGGAACUGUGGUAUAGUGACUAGUUGCAUCCUUUAGCCCAUGAGGCUGAUCACAGAGAAAGGGUAGAGAGAAUAAGGCACAUAUGAAUCUUGUUCAGGCCUUUCAAGGAAAAUGUAAACAGUUUUUUCAUUCAUAUUCUGUCUUCUCCCAAAUUUUUCCUCUGAUAUUAUUUUGACCUUCCUCCUCAUAAAGACCAUCAUCAUAACCCAAAAGUGUGGACACUGCACAUUUGCCAGCUGAAAAAUCAAAGAAAAAGGUUAAUCCAAUGAUUCUAAUAAUACCAUAAUCCCAUGAUAACAUGAUAAUGAUCCAAAGAUUGAAAGGGUUCCUCAAACCACAUUUACAGUCUGGUUGUGAAUAUUUUACUGUUGUCCUUAUGGAUCACAUUAGGAAACAGUCCCAGGAAGACAAAGUAAAUCACAACAGUUGAAUUAAUUAAGAAAAUAAAUUUAUAGUUUUCAAGGGUUGGAAAGUAAUUACCCAACUAAAUCCAAGCAUACACAUGGUGAGAUAUGAGAGGCCUUUGAACUUGCAAGGAGAAUCUGGUGGGCCCAAACAUUAUCCUAUCCAGAAAUGCCAUGUUCCAUAAUGCAACUUUCUUUUUUUUGUGGCCGCAAAUGCUGUCUCAAAUUUCAUGGAUCACAUUCAAAUCCUAUGAAAAUUACCAUUUUUUUACUUCUUCUGAAAAACCCUCUGAAAAAAAAAGAAGAAUUUUUUUUCUCUGUCACGCCGCAAAAGGCCGAAACCACACCAAUGCUCAUCACAGUUCUUCCCCAUGCCAUUUCAGUAAAUGGGAUAAUCACACCCCAGUUUCAUACAUAUACACACUUGUCAAACGCUCUGCAGCCAUCUUCCUUGCAUAAUGGAACAUAAAGUUCAUCCUUUUCUGGUGCAUAACCAUCUCUCUCCAGUUUCUGUAUUCAGAUUUUGAGUCAAAUUCUUACUUGUAUUGAAAAUUUAAUUUCGACAAUUGUAAUUUGUAUCUUAUUGACUAGAUAAUGCGUUGCAUACUCUUUUAUGUUUAGCUUAGCUUGCUGGUUUAACAUGGUGUGGAUGGAAGGAUGAGUGGGACAUCUGUUCUUUGCCAAUCCCAUCUUUUGUCACUUCCAAAUAAUCCACCCCAAAACUCUGAAUUGAAUGCAAAGUUCAAUGAGCAGGGAUGGUUGUCUUUGCUCAAGAGAUGCAAGAGCAUGGAAGAAUUCAAGCAAGUUCAUGCCCAAAUUCUAAAAUUGGGCCUUUUCUUGGAUUCUUUCUGUGGCAGCAAUCUUGUUGCCACUUGUGCUCUAUCCAGAUGGGGCAGCAUGGAGUAUGCUUGCUCAAUCUUCAGGCAAAUUGAGGAACCUGGUAGCUUUGAGUACAAUACCAUGAUUAGAGGAAAUGUGAAUAACAUGAAUCUAGAAAAAGCUUUGUUGCUUUAUGUUGAGAUGCUUGAAAAAGGAAUUGAACAUGACAACUUCACCUACCCGUUUGUACUCAAAGCAUGUUCUCUAUUAGGUGCUCUCAAGGAGGGAGUGCAAAUUCAUGGUCAAGUUUUCAAGGCUGGUCUCGAGGAUGAUACCUUUGUGCAGAAUGGCUUGAUCAGCAUGUACGGGAAGUGUGGGGAAAUAAAUCAUGCUUGUGCCUUGUUUGAGCAAAUGGAUGAAAAGAGUGUGGCUUCAUGGAGUUCCAUCAUUGGUGCUCACGCUAGAGUGGAACUGUGGCAAGACUGCUUGAUGCUUCUUGGAGACAUGAGCAGUGAGGGACGCCAUAGGGCUGAAGAGAGCAUUCUAGUUACCGCACUUUCUGCUUGCACUCAUUUGGGGUCUCCUAAUCUUGGAAGGUGCAUACAUGGGAUCUUGUUGCGGAACAUUAGUGAGCUCAAUGUUGUUGUCAAAACUUCUCUAAUUGAUAUGUAUGUAAAAUGUGGGAGCCUUGAGAAAGGGCUUUGUGUGUUCCAAAGUAUGGCUGUGAAAAACAGAUACUCUUACACUGUCAUGAUCUCAGGGCUCGCCUUUCACGGGCGUGGAAGGGAAGCUCUAAGAGUUUUCUCUGAAAUGGUGGAGGAAGGUUUGGCACCUGAUGAUGUUGUUUAUGUGGGUGUAUUAAGUGCUUGCAGUCAUGCUGGUCUUGUCAAUGAGGGUCUUCAAUGUUUCAACAGCAUGCAACUUGUGCAUAAGAUCAAACCAACAAUUCAGCACUAUGGUUGCAUGGUGGAUCUUAUGGGGAGAGCUGGGAUGCUGAAGGAAGCCUGUGACCUCAUAAAAGGCAUGCAAAUUAAGCCUAAUGAUGUGAUUUGGAGGAGCCUUCUUAGUGCUUGUAAGGUUCACCUUAACUUGGAGAUAGGGGAGGUAGCAGCUGAGAAUGUUUUCAAGUUGAAUCAACACAACCCUGGGGACUAUUUGGUGCUAGCAAGUAUGUAUGCAAGGGCUCAAAAAUGGACUGAUGUGGCCAGGAUCAGGACAGAAAUGGCUGAAAAACAUUUGGUGCAAACACCUGGCUUUAGUUUGGUUGAAGCAAAUAGGAAGGUCCACAAGUUUGUCUCACAGGACAAGUCUCAACCACAAUGUGACACCAUCUAUGAUAUGAUUCACCAGAUGGAAUGGCAGUUGAAAUUUGAAGGCUAUGCACCAGACACAUCACAGGUGUUGCUUGAUGUAGAUGAAGAAGAAAAGAGACAGAGACUGAAAUAUCAUAGUCAGAAGUUGGCAAUUGCUUUUGCUCUAAUACAGACAUCUGAAGGAUCUCCCGUAAGAAUAUCAAGAAAUCUUAGGAUGUGUAGUGACUGUCAUACUUACACUAAGUUCAUUUCCAUGAUCUAUGAACGGGAAAUUUCUGUAAGAGACCGUAAUCGCUUCCACCAUUUUAAAGAUGGAACUUGCUCAUGUAAAGAUUAUUGGUGAAUUUCAUUACAUUUAUGCAUAAAGACUUCUUAUAGGACUAGUAUUUUUUCCUUGUAUUACAUAAAAAAUUCAUACUAUCAAGUCGGAUACAUCUCUUAAACAAUGUAUAUGUGUGACACUUACGACUUAGUAUAGAUGAAGUGUAAAAAUUCAAAAAAAUAUUUGUUGAAAAUAUGAUAAUACUAUUUUAACACAAAUAUUCAUUUAUUAUGGUCAUAUUGUUGUAAAUAGACAACUAAUUGAUAUAAUAUUGGACACUGGCAUCUUGAGCAUCUCUUUUUUACCAAUUAUGUUGCUAUCAAGCAUGUCAAGAAUAAUGGUUUUAAGAGAAUUGAUAAAUUUUGAGAGUAACUUUUGUUUUCUUUUGGCUAUAGAAGACAGUCACAGAAGUUCUUGGUUUUCAGAAACACAAGGCAACUGAAUGAAGAGCACAUUUUUCAUUGUACUAUUUUCAAUAUUUUGACUCCCAUCCCACAAACAACUUAUACAUAACACCAUUGAUUUUCAAGAAUGAAAUAGAUUCUCAUAUUUUAUGAUUAGACAUCUUUAAAUAUUUUUCUAAAUAAUCUCUAAAAUCAUUUCUAAAAUUGAAAGUUUUCAGAAAAAUUUAUAUUUUAAUUUAAUUUCCUAUUAAUAGAUUCAAUCUCCUCUAUUUCAAAUAAAUAAUACAUGAUAGAAUUUAACUGGAAUGCAUUUGCUAUAUAGUAUUUUUUACAAUGCACUGUCAUUGAGGUAUAUAUUAUUAUUUAUAAUAUUAAUAAUCAAUUUUUUAACUACUUUUGUAGUGUAAUUAAAUUCUUACCAUUUUAUCCUUUAAUUUUUGUAACUUUCUUUCUUAAAUUUAACUAACUAACUAUUAAUAAUAACAACAACAACAACAAAAAUUACCUAAAAUAAAAUUAUAAAAAUUAUUUAUCUAUCUUAAUUUAUAGCUAUUAAUAAAAAGAUUUUUUAAACCAUUUUUAGUAUCACGUUAUCAAUUUUACCUGUGUUAAGAUAAUUUAUUUACUCAUGAAAUUUAAAUUCUAAUAAAAUAAUAUCAAACUACAAUUUACGAAUUGAAUUUUUUUGUUGGUGAACACGUUCACAAUCGCGACACAAUUUGCUUCUUCAUCGGUGGUCUUCUUCCUCUGUCGUGAUCCUUUUAGGUUUCGCAGAAUUGAAGUUUCCCUUCAUUUUCACUUCGCAUCCAUGUCGAUAUUCCUUCACAGUUUUUGUCCGUAUAACCCUAGAAAUCAACAGUAUCACGUUCAAGGUAUGACAUUCUGUUACGUGUCUGCAAGUAAUCAGCAGAAAAUUAUUUAAGCUUCUGAGAAGAUCGUUUAUAUCUGUGUAUAGCAUUGAAGCACUCGAAAAAUGCGGAAAUUGAGAGAGUUCAAACUGUCACAUUUCUUCAAUUACCAACCAUACUUCCCGUAAGUUACCUUUUUACCAUCGUAUUUUUCAUUUUUAUGCUUUGCGUUUGUUUUUGUUUUUUAAAUUAUCUGAAGAAAGCUUAACUGUUUUUUAGUUGCUGGACCUGCUUGUAUUGGAUAUGUUUUGGGAUUGCUUUUGAUAUUGUAUUAUUGUUGUGUGAUUCCAUUGUUUACCUCUUUAUUUGCCAAAUUCAUUGUUUAGUGCUUAGUGUUUAUUGAUCAGAAUGUUGAUACUAAGGCUGUCUUUAGCAAGUAGUGGAUUAUGCUAGUGACCUUGGCUUCUAGCUUUCAGUUCGCAGCCACUAAGAAACACAAGAGAGAAGUAGAUGCAACUAUGGAAAGAGCUUAUUUUGGAAAAUUUACCAUUUUAGUAUAAUAUCUUAAAAAAAUUAACAAAAUAAGUAAAUCUUAGGAAAAUUACAAAUUGGGUAGUCGUGCUUGACUUUAUUUUUAUAUGAAAUAAAGUCGUGUGUAUCGUAGUCGUGCUUUUCAAGUAUGACUUACCUAAUUUUGUAAUUUGCUUAUUCUAGUAAUUUUUUCGAGAAAUUACACCACAACGAUAAAUUUUCCGCUUAUUUUGGAUUGUUGUAAAAUACAGAAGACAUUUGUAAUUGCACUUGAAGAAGAAUUUCCUCUAUUUACAAAUCUUGUAAUUGAAAGUAAGCUCAAAAUCCUGCUUUUGUGUCAUAAAUGUUCCUUUAGUAUUUGGUCUUGCUUGUUUCCACGCUUUUGAUGUAUGAUUGUUUUCAGAUUUUUUAUCUUGCAGGGUCUCUUACUCAUGAAGCUAGAGAAGCUUUCCUUUCAGUGUUAGUUCCUGAAGGUAUGCUUCAUUUCUCUCUAAGGAUUUAUUUUCUUGUAAUGGCUCAGAGAAAAAUGUCUCUACUGUAUAUUCUGAUUUAACAGGCCAUGCAGAAUGGAUGGACAAAGGACACAGGAAAUAUCUUAUUCUCUGACAUCAGAUUCAAGAUUGGGCUGACAUUUUAACAAAUUUGUAGGUUUAAAUUGCUAGUUUGAUAAUCACUGCCUGCAAUUAGUAUUUAUUACCUUGCCAUUGAGUUUGCCUUAAUAUUUCAUUAGGCAAAAGACAAUGGGCUGGAAGAUGGUAUUGUCACGAUUGAAGAAAUACAAAGAGGGACUGAGUCUUAUGGAACAGGUAAUUUGUUAACACUUAUAGGUUAUUCAGUUAGCUAGAAUUAGAGAUAGGACAAGCUUGAUGAUUAUGCUUCUUCAAUGCAAAUUGUCUCUUGUGUUUGAGUAUAUUUCUAGGACUUAUAAUAGUCGUUCUUUUGGUAGGUAUUUUUUAAUAGUAUUGUUGCUUUUCAAUUUUGUUUCCAAUCAAUUUGGUUGAAUCGGACCUUUUGAAUAUUUAUGUGGUUCUGGUAGUUGAGGGGUAGAUGGAAAUUUGAAUAAAUAUUUCUUUACCUGUAUUUAGAUUCAAUUUAGAAUAUGAAAGCAAUCUUGCCAGAGAAGCAGUAUGCCAAAAAGGAUUUUUGGAUAUGAGCUGUGGUAAAAGAAUUCAGCAAUUCUUCAUUUAUCUUUAUAUUUUUUUUGCUUUUGAAAUAGUAUUUAAAGAAGUCUAUGUUCUAUUUUUAUCUUUCUUAAGGGUGAUUGGAAAGUGUGCAAGCAAUGGAACAGAUAUAAAAACAACUAAAACGGAAGGUCACACAUGUGGUGGUUUACUGAUUUUAUGCUUUGAUAUUUUCAUAAUCUAAAACCAGUUUAGUUAGUUUCAGUUUUAUGAUUUGGUUUUGUCUUCUUAAUAUUUCACUGUUAGUUACCUAUAAUGAAAUAUUAUGUUGGCUAACGGUAAAAUAGUCUUAACCUUUGAUUUAAGUUUUGUUCUGGUGAUUGAAUUGAAGGAAGUAUCUUGUCUUGAACCUCAGACCAAUAGGGGUAUUGCUGAUGCAAAGGACCACUGAACAAAUAAACAACCUUUGAUUUAAAUUGAAUCUUAAUGGUUUUUUAAUUUUUUUAAUUUUUAAAUAAUUUUUUAAGUUGUUGAAACUAAAAAAAAAAACCACUAAGCAGAAGACAUAAUGUUUUCUUAGUGUGAAUUGUGUUUUUCUACUGCUGUGGAUGUUUGUUAAAUCAGAAAAUGGUGUCUGUACCGACCAGGUCAUUGGGUGUGAUGACGUGUCUAGCAAGUGACUAUGUAGAGCGUGCUCAGCAGAACACGUGGGCAAGAGAAAGACGAAUGGUUCAGAAGUGAGCAUAGUCGCCGUUCGUAGAAGUGGCGUUCCGCAGUGUACAUAGUCGGUUGUCGCCGGGUUUGUGUGUCAUCGACGUGUUAGAUAAUGGAAGAUCAGCUGGUCUGACAUCGCCACAAGGAGCACAUCGCCGGAUCUCCCAGUAAACUUAGUUAAAGCUGUUGGAGGCUCAGAAGAGUAAGUUCAAGCGUGUGAGUUCAGUAAGAUGAUUGUUACGCCAACAUGGGGCGUGAAGGUCGAGUGGGUUGGAGGGAACAACUUGCUCAUCAGCGACAGAAUUCCCAAAGUGGACAUUCGUUGGUGGCAAGGUUUCCUCAGCUGGAACAUGCAUGGCGUAGCAAUAAGGAGGGUGGCACUUGCGAUAAGCGAUAUCACAGAGAUGGUGUACUUUGUUGUAUCCGAUACUCGCCUUGUCGGGUGGUGUUCCAGAGCGUAUUACGUGCUAGAUUACUCCUUGAAUAGGAGACUUGGCCGCGCGACUGGUUACUACACAGAAAAGACGCUCAAUUUACCCCCGCCCAGAUGAUGACACGUGUAGGGUUGGGUACUACCAGUUACCCCAACCCAGAUGACGACACGUGUAGGGUUGGAUGCUACACAGAAAUGACGCUCAAGUUAUCCUAGCUCAGAUGAUGACACGUGUAGGGUUGGGUACGACCUGUUAUCCCAUAUGAUGACACGUGCAGGGUUGGAUGCGAGCCACGCGUCCAAAGCGUAACUGCCUGGAGAGAGAAAAAACCUAGGUAUAAAGGUAAACUUAACAGAAUCGGCAGAGGUACGUUCAUUACGGCUCAUUGUUUUGGGUUGAGUGCACUUUAGUACGGUUCUACAGAGCAUAGUUUUCUCUCAGUUUUUGGGUGUUCUUGUUACUGACUUGAGCAUCGGAGCGCCACCGGCCGCAGAGGCGCCAUCUUGUGUUUUCAGGUUCUAAGAGAGACAAUCUGUGGAGUGGACUUGAAGAGCACGUGGUGUCAAAGCUGGUGCGAAAAGAUCGUGAUGAGGCAUCGUUCUUACGCUAGGUCAACCGGCAGGAUCAGUGUCCUUGGAUGUGGCUUCCUCUAUUUAAGGAGGUUAUAAAACUUCAUUAAGUAGACUUGUUCCAUUAGAGUAAAUGAAGAGACUACAAAAUAUUUUUGUCUCAGUCGCAUAUCAACUCCAUCCCACCCUUCCAUCUAACAAUAAAAGAAUUCAAGAUAGUGGGGAGAAGGGAGAAGAGAAAAAAAAAUUAUUAGAAGAAAAGUAAAUAAUCAAUCAAGUUCUCAUACAUGAUACAUCUUUGCUACUGUUGAUUUGAAACAACUAAAUUGCUUAUUUCAGACCUGAUUAAGAAAGGUUUCACUAGGGUUCUCUCGAGUUUUGACAGUAAUUUGAGGGUUGUGCGCAGGGUUUAGGUAAUUAGGCUUUUGGGUUGUUUGAAAAUGGGCAAGCUACAGCCCAAAAUGUCAUUUUGAAAAAAGACAAAAAAAAUUCUCCUGGGUGAUAUGGCAGAUCUCGGACUGUGCUAUUUAUCUACAAGUAUAGCAUGGCAAUGGCUGCCAAAACAUUUUGAAUUAGGCAAUUCUUUCUGAAUUAUUCAAAUUGUAUAUUCGCUUAAACAAAAUCAGUAGGGGAGGGGAAGAAGGAAGAUGACAAUGAUAAGGAGAAUGAUGGAUAAUCGGUGAUACUUUCCAAAAAGCAUAUGACAGGCUGUUUAUUAAUUUACAGUGGGUGAUAAUGACGAUGGGUGUUUUCUUUACAUCCAAUUGUAGGUAUUAAGGAGUGAUAUUCAAGAUGCCGGAGUACAAUCUCAUGGAAGCUGAAGUCCAAUUUUAUGUUGAGGCUCUCCUCUUGUAUUGCCUGCAGUUUAGGACUGGGUUCUUUAUACUAGGAAAUUGAGAGUAUGGUGUAGCUAAAUUAUACUUUGUAUUGACAUGGUAAAGUUGUCCUGGGUAAUUAAAGCUACUUGAUGUGUCUAACCUUCGUUUAUGUAAUGGUGUAUGUAAUAUUUUAUGUAUUAUCUAUUAAAAUUUUAGCUUAUUUUACUUUUACUUUGCUGCUUCGUCAGGACAUGGCAAAUGUCAUUGUGUUCAGGUGUAUACUUAAUUAGAUUGCAUUGCUGUCACCUUUUGAGGUGUAUUUAUAACCUUUUUGUUUUUAUUCCUAACUCAAACUGAUUUCCAUUGCUUGCAGUCGGGCUUUGGAAGAUCGAACUAUGUGGAACAUCUCCUAGUGAAGAGCCUAUAUGUUAGAUGUAUUGGAAGUUCCAAGGAGUAAAAAAUAUGUUUGAUUUUCCAUGCAACCAUUUAAAGUAGUGCACUUUCAACCCAUGCAUUUCAGUAAAUGUGUAAUAAUAUAGGAUGUUUUCUAGUUUCUUCUCGUUUUUGAAUUAGUUUAUAUUAUUUUCUACCAAGGCUUGACAUUUAAUCAUAGUAUGACCAUAGUGUUUUCAGCUUAUAUUCUGUGUUGGAAUGGAGAUAUAAACUGUGAUCUAACUGAUCUUUCUUUAAAUUCUUGAGUCUUGACUUGUUGACAUGGCCUUUUACUCACUUGAAGAAUUAUGAUAAAAUAAGAUAAAUAGUUGAUUUUUUUUUGCUUUAGGUACUAAAAUUGAUACAUAAGCAACACCAAUGUAUUUUUGCUAUGCCGAAAAGGACCUCCCAUCUUGUGGCAGAUUUGUCUUAAGUUACCGGUAUGACCUGUCUGAUCAAAGAUGUUCAGAAUAGCUUUUGAUGCUUGAUUUUAUUUAAAGCAUGCCUGUCUGUUUUGAUUUUGGCUUUUUUAUGAGAUAUUUCUCUGUAGUUUUUCAUUGCAAUUAACUCUGUUUUAUCACCUGGAAAUGAACUACAUCCUUUUGUAAGAAGUAGGAUAGAAAGAGACAAGUCAGAUAGUUGAUUUGCUUAGUUCAGUUGACAUAAAGUGCUAAGUGUACUCGGUUAAAAUUUUGUUGAGCAUUUGCAUCUUUUACUAGGGUUUAUAAAUUUUUGGGAAUUUUGCACUGAAUGCAUUAUUUCUCUAAUGCUGGAAUCUUGAGCUGAUUAUUUGCCAUAUUAAAGUCUAAAGGGUUUGCCCUGGUUCAAAGUUGAAAUGCUUUUUUGGUUGAGUGCAAUUAGUGGUGUUAACUUUUUUUAGUUUUGCUUUCUUUGUCCUUUCAUUACCCCCUGAAGCUUUAGACGUGAGAUAUUUUUUUUCCAUUGAAACAAAUAUGCUGUUUUUACUUGUAUUUCUACACCUUUUCAGUGAUUAAGCAGGGGUCUUGUUAAUUAAUGUGGUUUAGAAAUACUUACUUUGCUCCUUUCACUGAAUGUUUAUCACAACAAUGAACUCUGCAUUUGAGAACUUCAUUAUUACCAUAUAGAAGUUUCGGCAAAUCACGUUUUAAAAUUUGAAGCUUGUGAAUUUCUUUAUUUGCUGAUUCAUCUAAUUGAGGGUAUAAUUGAUCAAGUUGAGGGCACAGUGCACGUAUCCUAAGUGCAACCAAGAGUUCUCAGCAUUCAAUAGAUCCAAUCCUUAUGGGAUCGAGUUGAUCCACAACACCUGAUCUAACAGGAUCAGGAUCGUUAAUCUUUCUUUUAUUUGUUUUCUGUCCUUUGUAAAAAUUUCUUAGGUUAAAAGAACACAUCCUAAGGCGACAAAAGAUGAGGAGACUUCCAAGUGACAUGGGGCCAACUUUGUAUGCUUCAUCUGGGUUUGCGUGCUGCUUUCUGAGUGAUUGCUGGAAAGAGUAGCCCCUUGUACGGUUUAGAAAUUGUUGGAUCUAUGCUUGCAAACUUACAGACAUGGUAACUCAUUUCCACCAUGGCUGUUUUUACGCAUUAGAGUAAUGACAGACUAUGUAUCUGGAAUUUUCUUUGAUACGGCCAUUUUUAUUAACUUUUUGAAGUAGUUUUCAUUGAACAGUCCCAAACAUUCACCUUCGCUCUUUUGUUCAAAUUUUCAUCCACUUUGAUCUGGGUGGUACUUGUUGUGAGCUGAAUCUUCUGUCUGUUGUUCCAGCUUCUUUUAUUUGUGCGAGGCUGUUUUCAGCAAUAAAUUAAUCAAAUGACAGGAAUGGUGACAGAGAUGC